GUUAUAACCGGCGAUUUCCGAAUGGGGAAACCCAGUGUGAUUCGUCACACUAUCAUUAACUGAAUCCAUAGGUUAAUGAGGCGAACCGGGGGAACUGAAACAUCUAAGUACCCCGAGGAAAAGAAAUCAACCGAGAUUCCCCCAGUAGCGGCGAGCGAACGGGGAGCAGCCCAGAGCCUGAAUCAGUGUGUGUGUUAGUGGAAGCGUCUGGAAAGGCGCGCGAUACAGGGUGACAGCCCCGUACACAAAAAUGCACAUGCUGUGAGCUCGAUGAGUAGGGCGGGACACGUGGUAUCCUGUCUGAAUAUGGGGGGACCAUCCUCCAAGGCUAAAUACUCCUGACUGACCGAUAGUGAACCAGUACCGUGAGGGAAAGGCGAAAAGAACCCCGGCGAGGGGAGUGAAAAAGAACCUGAAACCGUGU
rnacentral:rRNA from 1 species